UUCAUCGGGCCUCGAACAAUCCGCCACCAGUCCAACCCAGUCUCGCCAUCGCAGCCUUCUUCCUCUUCCUCGUCACGGCCGCGCGCCUCCCGCCAGUUCCGUUCCCCGCGCCCUCCCUUCUCCAACUCCCUCCUGUCACCUGACGCCCAUCUCUUCUCCCUUUCCCUCCUCCUCGCCCCACUGCUCCCCGUGGGCGCGUGUGCCUGCGUCUGCUACCCCGUCGGUUGUCGCCUCUCUGGCCGAGACAUCGGGAGCCUCGCGCGCGUCUCGCGCCGACGGUGUUCGACGGAAUGCCCCGCCGAUCGACAGCGUUACCGAUGACCAUAUCUGCUUCCUAAAGGUGCAUCAAACUGUGAUGAAUAUCAUAUGCUUGUUGCUCUUCCAGGGAUGGGCAUUUGGUCUAUGUACCAUGCCAUAAAUCCUCAUAGUACGGGGUCUCUAAGUGUUCUAUGCUCUGGAAUUUAUCUUGCUGCUCGUUCUUUCUGUAACAAGCUGAACCAUAGCAGUUCCCUAAAGGAUAGAAGGCUUGCUAGGAUUGAUAGGAAUUUGAUUGACGUGUCUGCGAUCAGUCAACGCUUGCAACUAUGUGCAAAAAGGAAGUCCCUCUUGGUUGGGAAAAGCUGCCAUGGAUUAGCCAUUCAUUUUGGUCUGGUAACAGAUACUCUCACAUGCAAUAUUCUCAUCAACUUGUACACAAAAUGUGGCCGGAAUGAUUGUGCCCGUCUUGUUUUUGAUAUAAUGCAUGUCAGAAGCAUAGUCUCAUGGAAUACCAUGAUUGCUGGAUAUACUCACAGUGGAGAGGAUGUACAAGCCCUGAAGCUUUUUUCAAGGAUGCACCGAGAAGGGACACAUAUGAGUGAAUUUACUUUAUCCAGCACAAUCUGUGCAUGUGCUGCAAAAUAUGCUAUCAAUGAAUGCAAACAAUUACAUACUAUUGCACUCAAGCUCGCACUGGACUCCAAUAGUUUUGUUGGAACUGCAAUUCUAGAUGUUUAUGCCAAAUGUAAUAUGAUUAAGGAUGCCUGCUGGGUUUUUGAGAAGAUGCCUGAGAGAACUUUAGUUACAUGGAGUUCAUUGUUCGCCGGAUAUGUGCAGAAUGGUCUUCAUGAAGAAGCAUUGCAUUUAUUCCGGUGUGCCCAAAGAGAAGGAGUAGAAUUGACUGAAUUCACUCUUUCUGCUAUCCUUAGUGCAUGCGCAAGCUUAGCAUUGAAAAUUGAAGGGAUACAGCUGCAUGCAGUUAUUUUGAAGUGUGGUUUUCAUGGGAACUUCUUUGUUGCAGCAUCUCUUGUCGAUGUAUAUGCAAGGUGUGGGCAGAUUGAAAAAGCUUAUGCACUAUUUGCUUAUAUGGAGCAUAAAAAUGUUGUCAUAUGGAAUGCAAUGAUUGCUAGUUUUUCUAGGCAUGCCCAUUCUUGGGAAGCCAUGAUUCUCUUUGAGAAAAUGCAGCAGUUAGGGAUUUUUCCAAACGAAGUUACCUAUCUCUCAGUAUUGUCAGUGUGCAGUCAUGCAGGUUUAGUUGAAAAGGGUCGUCACUACUUUAGCCUUCUAAUGUCUGAUCGGACCGUUGAACCUAAUGUCCUUCACUAUUCUUGCAUGGUUGAUGUUCUGGGACGAUCUGGGAAGACUGAUGAGGCUUGGGAAUUGCUUAACAAAAUGCCAUUUGAACCAACUGCUUCAAUGUGGGGAUCUUUGCUUGGGUCAUGCAGGAACUACAAUAACAUUAGGUUAGCCAGAAUAGCAGCUGAACAGCUUUUCCAACUUGAGCCUGACAACGGAGGGAACCAUGUUUUGCUCUCAAAUGUAUAUGCUGCCAGUGGGAACUGGGAGAAUGUUCUUAUGGCAAGGAAGUAUCUGAAGGAUAGUGGUGCAAAGAAAGAAAUGGGCAGGAGUUGGAUCGAGGCAAAGGGCAAAGUUCAUGUCUUUGUUGUUGGAGAGAGAAAGCACCCAAGAAUCACUGAUAUUUAUAAUAAGUUGGAGGAAAUUUAUCACGAGAUGAGAAAAUUUGCUCGCAGAACCAGCAUAGAAUGCGAUCUUCAUGAUGUACACGCUGAACAAAAAGAGGAGCUGCUUAAACACCACAGCGAGAAGUUAGCUCUUUCUUUUGGUUUAAUCAGCUUGCCUUCUAAUAUACCAAUUAUAAUCCACAAGAACCUUAGGAUCUGCGGCGACUGUCAUUCCUUCAUGAAGAUUGCAGCUCAUAUCACUGAACGUCUAGUCAUUGUCAGAGAUACCAAUAGAUUUCACCAUUUUAAGGAUGGCUCAUGUUCUUGUGGGGACUUCUGGUGAUUUAGGACUGAAUGAGGGACAUCAAUCAUCUACCAGUGGUACUCUCAACAUGUAGAAAAUUAUUGCCCUGUGAGUAGUGGCGCUGCUGCCGCACUAAAGAUCUAUGUCAGGACUGAUCUUUAUAGCUUUGCCAUUCAAGUCAAUAAUGUCAUGCUGCUGGUCCUAUUUGCUAUUAUGUCAACACUAUUGUCUGAACUGUGCAUAACGAAUGGAAGUAGAUGCAAGUCCUUGAUUGUCUGAAUGGACUGUUUUUUUCAUACAUCAUGAGCCACGUCAUGGGGAGUGCAUGCAAGGUUUGUUCUUACAGAAAUAUACAUGGGAAGUGGAUUUAUUCUCAGCUCAACAUUUGAUAAUUUCAGUGCCUGAAGAAGUCUGCUAGGCCACUUACUUGGCACUACCAGUGUAAUUCUUGAGAACUGUACCAAUUGAUGCACAUUGUGGCUCCAGCUCCUUACGAUCAAAUCUUCCUCGUCAUUCUUUCCACAAUUCCACUCCAAAAAUGAUGUACUCUGGAAGCGCGUAGGGGCUGUGGUUAGUGUAGCCGUACAUUGGCGUCGUUGGCGCCUCUGCCUCCGGCUCCGGGCCACAGUCGAGGUUCACGCCGAAGAGCCUGAGACGCCUAGAUGGUGGUGCUGAUGCUGUGCUGCUGCUCUUGGCGUCUGCGUCUCUCUGCGACUCGCCUGCGAUGAUUCGCCGGAAAAUGGUGUAAGAGUGCCAGGAAAAUGGGAAUAGCUGGUUGUUGUCUCACGUGGCCUUGGCAUUACCUGUCCUGGCCUUGCUGUUGCAGCUGGAGUGCUCCAAGUUCCCAAAACGCCAAAAUAUUCUUACAUUGAGAUUGGAAAUAGGAUCAAGAUUGGACCUGCGCACGGAUUCUUCCUUCUUCAAUUUCCAACAAGUUCAUGAAUGAGGGAUCUACAAAGCACACUGGAUCACAAUAACUACCGCGCACUGGUACCUAUUUGCAACAUGCAUGCACUGGUUGGUUGCGAGUUGUGCCCCAAGUGUACGUACGUAGCAUAUUUAAAUCUGGCCACGAGGAUGGAGCCACGCAACGCCGCAGCUUAAGGUUCUUAAUUUCCCAGGGCUCAAUCAUGCAGCUCACCUGCCCCCCAAUCUCCCCUGAUAAUGCAAUGCAAUGCAGGCAGGCCAGGGUUUGGUUUUCGAUCUCCAGUCACAUGAUGAGCGAUCGAGGUGACUCACUUGAGCCGGUAUCUCUCGUGGAAUUGAAUAUGGGAUCACUGGUGAUAAGGGGACACACACAUGCUAAUGCCCCUCAUUAUGUUAUUCCCGUGGCUCUAUGGAUCUGUUCCUUUUCCAUGAGGCCACGUAUGUCGCCCGGGUUCAUGCAUGCAGAUGUAGCUGGGAUUGAUCAUCAUGGUCAUGGACGUACUACGUGGGUAGCAUGUGCCUCAGCACGUCUUCAGGAUGUGUCAAGUUUUUUAAAAAAGCACGAUGGUGAGUACAGGCAUUAAUUAUUUUUAUGCGAUUGUACGAACCUUGCUACAUUUGUACGGUGGCUUGUACGUUGUCUCUAGUUCCUGUUUAUACUCCUCGUGGCAAAUAUAUACACGCAUGUUUUUCUGUUGGUCUCCAAUAGAUUUGCUUUGUUUUAUGGUAGCAUGUUUGAUUCAAGGGAUUUUUGCAAGACUUCAAUAUAUCCGUUUAUGAUUCUCUUUUUACAGAAGUUGUUUUGAUUUGUGAGGUUUUGAACUUCAGGGAAUUUUGUCAUGCCACCACUUUGCUCUCAGUUUCCAUGUUUUUCUUAUAUGCUACUGUAUAAUCGAUCAAACAAUUUUUUGUUGCCAAUUUCUCUGUUAUGAUCAGUCUGUAUACUUUCUGUUCCUGCGAGGCCAAUAUUUUAUGUGUAUUCUAAUAUUUGGGUAACCAGCACUCCUGAUCGAGCUCAUCGCAUCAUCGUGUACGAUUCCAGUUCACAGGUCAACCUGAAUACCUGAUGAGUCCGCCGCUACCAGACGCUGAUCUGUGUGCUGUGCGUGGCGUUGGCGUGGGAAUGCGUAAAGGAGAGGCGCAGGCUGCAGACGAUCUCUAGCUGGGAUUGGCAGGAGCUUUUCUUUCUCCUCUUCUCUGCUCUGCCUGCCCGCACUGAAGACUGACGUGAUAGAGAAGAAGGCCUGACCACGCGGCCAGGAGGAGGGAGAGAUGAUGAUGGGCAAGAGAAGGAAAAGGAACUUGGUAUGUUUUGAGAUGCCUUUUCUCCUGACGGUGUCAUGUUGGUAAGUACUGGAGUAGUAGCUAGUAUAGCACUCGCUUUUUGGUCAGCAGCCUGAACGGGGUCUUUUGGAGUGGAGGGAGACAAAGUGGAAACAAACAGCUCCUGAUUACCACGAGGGGACGAAAGAGAGCGAGGUAGCGAAAAAUGCUGCAAAUGUGGUGAUAGUACAGUACAGUGAAGGCUACGUCACCUGGUCUCGGGCCUUUAGUGUUGGUACCUGGUACCUUUAGCUAAGCCUGCCUGAUGAUCUGACCUUGGAGGUCGACGCCGAGCAGAGAGCAGCGCCCAUGUAGGAAAAGGCAGCGCGUUUGCCAGCGGCUUCGAUGUAGCUCGUACGUCCUCUUGGAUCGACCCAAAUUAACCACGCACGCAGCACAGAACAGAACAGUGUGCAACGCGGCCGCAACUGAACCUGCAACAGCAACAGCAACAGCAAGAUGGUCCUCCUUGCAUUGCAUGAUGAAUCCAUUGGUUAUUUGGUUUUCGCAUCUACUGUAUCUUUCUCAACCAUCUCUCGCGCCUGCGCCUUCCUCCAGUCCUACACUGCACGGACCCCAGCCCAACAACAGUAGUUCGGCAUGCACAACAAAGCUUCCUUCCUUCGGUCCCCUGCCAUUGUUAGGCGCGCGACGCAGCACGCCGGCCGGUGUCCCAAGUGCCACGCGCCGGAGGUCCCCCUCCACUCCAGUUCCUCCCAGAUCUAGGUCCCGGGGCCUCUGCAAGACUCUGAUGGCGAGCCAUCUAAACGUAUGCACACCGUCAAGUAUUUCGGCUCUCUCCGAUAUAUAGUGGUAUAAUGUGUCAAUUGUCAUGGUCCUCCUGAAGGAGUACUCCACUUCUCUCCUUCACCCUGGCCAUCGCUUACCGGUCUGAUCUAAUUGACAACUACAGCACGCAAAAAACUUCCAAGCAUGUACGCCUGCCUUGCUGGUGUGGGAAUGCUGUGCUCCUACUGUCCUGUUGUUCCUGUGCAUGCAUUGCACGCCAACCAGCAGAGAGGAGAGAAAACACCAAGAGAAGAGAAGAAUAAUGUGCGUGUGGCCGAUCAAGUGACGACGAUGCAGUGGCAAUCUGGGCGAUAGCGAUCGAGCAAGCAUGUGACGUAAUGGAUUGUAAAGCCAAAGCCGGGCUAAUAAUUCCGGCCACUGGCAGCAGAGAAGAGAAGAGAGGGCCUCCUCCAAUCAAGCGACACCUGAACCUCGUGUGGACGACCGACUUGUGGGUGACGUCACCCGGGCCUCCUGAGUGGGCUUCUGCCAAUACAGAUCGGCUUGUCAGGCCCGCCUGCUGCCACGCCCCCCCUCUACCCGGUCCCGUUCGGGCCGGGGCCCUCUACACAGGGCGCUGCUGUGCACUUAUCGUGAAAAAUGAGUGAAAGAGUGAGUGAGAGAUUGGGGUGUCAGAGACGGGACCAAAUCUGCAUGUUUUUGGAGUGCGAUGUAAGCGUUCCUCAGGCGUUGAUUUUUCCUCCUCCUAGCUAACCGUGGCCUGCAUGGUGUCAAACGGCGAUUUUUGAAUCUCACCUUCGGUCUAUGUCGUCGCUUGUCGAUCUGAUAGCCCACGUCAUGAGUUUGUAUGUUUUGACUGAAUAUCAGUUUUCACUCUUGGUGUUAAGAAGGAUGAGUCAUCUUGAAGCCGAGUUUGCAGGCUUUGACUGAAUUC